UUUAUAAUCUGGCACCUUCGGUGUCCGAGUUGUAAUCUCUAGAAGUGUUUUCCGCGUUGGACCGCACACAAGUCUGUUGGAAUACAGCGGCAUAGUGGUGAGACCCCCGUAUAUGGUGCGGACGCCCAACGCUUUGUGAUACACUUUCGAAGAGUCGAGUUGUUUGGGAAUGCAGCUCAAAUUGGGUGGUAAAUUCCAUCUAAAGCUAAAUAUUGGCGAGAGACCGAUAGCGAACAAGUACCGUGAGGGAAAGAUGAAAAGCACUUUGGAAAGAGAGUUAACAGUACGUGAAAUUGUUGGAAGGGAAACGCUUGAAGUCAGACUUGCUUGCCGAGCAAUCGGUUUGCAGGCCAGCAUCAUUUUUCCGGGGUGGAUAAUGGUAGAGAGAAGGUAGCAGUUUCGGCUGUGUUAUAGCUCUUUGCUGGAUACACCUUGGGGGACUGAGGAACGCAGUGUGCCUUACGGCGGAUUUCUCGAGAUCUUCACACUUAGGAUGCUGGUGGAAUGGCUUUAAACGAC
rnacentral:rRNA from 1 species